rnacentral:rRNA from 1 species
UAGGGAAUUUUCCACAAUGGGCGAAAGCCUGAUGGAGCAAUCCUGCGUGAAUGAUGAAGGUCUUAUAUAGAUUGUAAAAUUCUUUUAUUGGAGACGAAUAGUAAGAAGAGGAAAUGCUUUUUAUUUGACUGUAUCCUUUGAAUAAGUAUCGGCUAACUAUGUGCCAGCAGCCGCGGUAAUACAUAGGAUGCAAGCAUUAUCCGGAUUUACUGGGCGUAAAGCAAGCGCGGGCGGAUUAAUAAGUCUGGUGUGAAAUACAUUUGCUCAACAAAUUGUAUGCAUUGGAAACUAUUAAUCUAGAGUAUAAUAGAGAGUUUUGGAACUCCAUGUGAAGCGGUGGAAUGCGUAGAUAUAUGGAAGAACACCAGAGGCGAAAGCGAAAACUUUGACUAUCACUGACGCUUAGGCUUGAAAGUGUGGGGAGCAAAUA